rnacentral:rRNA from 1 species
UGAGGAAUAUUGGUCAAUGGACGCAAGUCUGAACCAGCCAUGCCGCGUGCAGGAUGAAGGUGCUAUGCAUUGUAAACUGCUUUUGUACGAGGGUAAAUGCAGGUACGUGUACCUGUUUGAAAGUAUCGUACGAAUAAGGGUCGGCUAACUCCGUGCCAGCAGCCGCGGUAAUACGGAGGACCCGAGCGUUAUCCGGAUUUAUUGGGUUUAAAGGGUGCGUAGGCGGAUUAGUAAGUUAGAGGUGAAAGCUCGAUGCUCAACAUCGAAAUUGCCUCUGAUACUGUUAGUCUAGAGUAUAGUUGCGGAAGGCGGAAUGUGUGGUGUAGCGGUGAAAUGCUUAGAUAUCACACAGAACACCGAUUGCGAAGGCAGCUUUCCAAGCUAUUACUGACGCUGAUGCACGAAAGCGUGGGGAGCGAACAGGAUUAGAUACC